AUGGGGCAAAUUACCCUUUUCCCAUCCGAUCAACCACCGUUGCUAUCUACGUCUGGUGCUUAAGCAGGCGGUUACAUUUAAUUAGUUAAGUGAUAAAACAAAAAGGGCUGGGAAAUUCUGCCUCGAUUACUACAUCACUUUAAAUCAUCACUUAAUGAACGCAGCCUACGUCUCAUCUCAUCUUCGUCCGCUUAUCCGGGGUCGGGUCGCGGGGGGAACAUAUGCAUGUGUACGUUUAUUAAAUGACAUUUAGUAAUGGAAGCCUUCCCUCAGUUGCCCCAAAUGCAAUUUGAAACCUCCAAGAAAGCCAUGGGAGAAUCUAGGGGGAAUAAUGGUCUCCAAGUCCUUGAGGCAUCAGGUACAAUAACUUAAAUAAUGAAUAACUUAAAGGCACUCCACAUGAAUUCAGAUUAAAUGUAUUAUGCAAAUACACUUUCUUUCAGUCUUUGAUGAAGAGACAUGUUCAAUGUGUGGAGCUGACAGGCCCCCUGGAGAAGCACCUGCCAACACAGACUGGAUCCAGUGUGAUAAAUGUGACCGGUGGUUCCAUGCCCUCUGUUUGAUCAUGGACCCCAGGACACUUAAAGAGCUCAAGCAAAAGCAAUGGCUGUGUGUGCUGUGCAAAUA
ensembl:lncRNA